CUUCAAUCAGCACUUCUCUAUCUUGCUGCCAUGUGAAGAAGGACGUGUUUGCUUCCCCUUCUGCCAUGAUUGUAACUUUCCUGAGGCCUCCCUAGCCAUGCUAAACUGUGAGUCAAUUAAACCUCUUUCCUUUAUAAAUUACCCAGUCUCGGGUAUGUCUUUAUUAGCAGUGUGAGAACGGACUAAUACAAUUUUAUUUUGUAAAAAUACAAAGCUUGUUUGUAACAUCAAACUAAAAGAAAAUUAUUAACUGGGAGAAUUAUCACAAAUCUACCAAGCAAAUAGUUAUCAUUGUUAUUAAAAUAAAAAGCAUUGCUUUAUCGGAAAAAAUUAUAAGAGAAAGUAGACAAGGAACAUUAGAAAAUUAUAGAACUGUAAAUCAUGAAUAAAUAGACAACAAAUGUUCUGCCCCACUAGUAGUCAAAACAAUACAGUGUCUAACAACAGUCAUCUACCAAUUCUUAAAUGUCAGGUGCAGUCAUCUACCUAGGCUCAAACUCCCAGUUUUACAGCCUGAGGAAUUCUAAUGCAGUCCCCACUACUUCUGCCAACCAUGUACCUCCUUGUCUCAUGGCUCUGUGCUGUCUUUCCACAUCUGCACAUGCUAUCUCAUGUGAACCUGGUCACUGACAUGGAUUGUCUUCCAACCUUGCAGUAUCCAUUCCCUAUUCUUCUACUAGACAACAGUCUUGUUUCCUUUGGGGAGAUCAGUUGUUCUGCUCUCCUGUAGCCAAAAAUACAGCUUGUGAUCCAGAUAGACCAUUCGGAAUAUUGGUCCCAGGGAAUGUAGUUGGGGGAAAAAGAAGAUAAAUAACUGAGAUAUUAGAUGAUGAGGUGGUUCACAAAGAGUGCAAACAAGAUAGCAGGCUAGAACCUACCUACAACUGCUGUAGGUACAGGGCCCAGGUCACAGUAGGGGAGCUUUGGCAAGCUGGGUCACCACUAGCACAAAAAUACAGUUGGCACCUCAGUUCCAUUGAAGUCAAACAGCACCUAAUUUUAAAAGGUUUCAUUAAGUGACCAGAUCCAGUGUUCAUGAAAGCUGAUGCUUCUACCUAAGAUAAACAUACUGUUUCUGGCCUUCUGUGAUUUUUACACUCAGAUAUUUUUUUAAAAAAAUGUUUAGAGGGAUAGCCUCUUCCUUUCUACCUAUAUUGUGCAACUGAACUUCAUAAUUUGUUGCAAGAAUUCAAAUUGUGGCUAAAACAAUCUUUAUUUUUGCUGUAUGGUUCAGAGAGAAAUGAAUGAUUGUCUAUUUUGAGUAUUAAUCUUCGGUUGUUUCCAUGGAUACCUGAUUCACUUAGAAAGGAAGCAAUGAAAAAUAAAGGACUCAGAGGCCAGAGAAUCUAUAUUUGGUCCCUCAUGGAGGAAAAACCUGAGGCUUGGGGAGGUGAAACUGUAAACUCUCUAACAAUGGGCAUGAAUUGGUUAAACAAUAAAACUCCAGCUGCUGUGUUUGGGAGAGGGAAAAGCAUGUUUAAUCAUUUUUACAGCUGUUGUAAUCACUUCUGAGUUUCUGUUCAAAGGAGGAAUCCAUUUUCAGAUCACACCCCAGUCGAAGGGUUGCUUUCCCACUCCUCAGCUCUUAUUGUGGAGGAGUGUAAAAUAAACACAGUGUUAACGAGACUCAAAAGGAAGAACGGCAGAGGUAGAACCUUCACAGAGACAGAGAGGAACAGUACUAUCACAAAACAGAGGGAACCCUUGCCUAGAGCAACACCUUUUCAGAAAUGCUUUUCAUUGAGUGUCUGUAUUUAAAGUUGCAUUUUUAAACAAUAGUAUGCAGAAAUCAAGAUUUUUGUCUGUAAUUUCAUAUUAUGUCUAUCAUCAAAGAAAAGCACAUAUGCUGGUGGCUAACCCGGGAUAAAAGUAAUAAGAGACAGACCUGUGAGACUCAGCAGAACCUGAGCAACAAAUGAAGAGAAAUUGGGACAAGAACAAAUAAAGACAGUUCUUUUAUUCAUGCCUGGCCAAAGGACUUCACUGGCUCUAUCUAAAAAAAAAAAAAAAAAAAAAAAAAAAGGAAAAGAAAAAUUAUACCAGUCCCUUUGUAUUUUGUUUAUAUUUUGCUGUGUAUCAUUACACUUGUUAACCAUCUUAUGUUUUGGGUUGAAAAUUUCCUGAAGAUCAAGGCAAAGGGUGAAUCAUGAAUUGUGAUUUUUAUAUGUUAGAGUGAGAGGGAUUCUAAUCAAUAAAAGGAGCCACUUUCCUGACAAAAUUUUGUAUCAAUUUAAGUUGAAUAUGAGUUGAGUUACGUAAAUAUUCAAAUAUCAUAGUGCUACUGACAAUGCUGACGUGGAAAAUAUGGCUGAUGUAUGCAGGAAGGAAGCCUUCCUAAACUGAAUUGGAGAGACUUAGCCAGCCAGUCAGAGGUGGCCCUGCAGCCCUGAAGACUUGUCAGAGAGGCCUACUUUGCCAUAUGACAGCAAACCAAACAGAACCCGUGCUGCCUUCAUAAGAGCAAUGAGUUGGGAAGAGGCUGCACUCACUUUCCCUUCUCAAGUUCAUUGAUCCAGUAAGUCACUCCACUGCCCAGACAGGAAGUGACAUGGUUUGGCUGUGUCCCCACCCAAAUUUUGAAUUGUAGCUCCCAUAAUUCCCACUUGUCAUGGAAGGGACCUGGUGGGAGGUGAUUGAAUCAUAAGGGUUUUUCCCAUGCUGUUCUCAUGAUAAUGAAUAACUCUCAAGAAAUCUGAUGCUUUUAUAAAUGAGAGUGCCCCUGCACUAGCUCUCUCUUGCCUGCUGCCUUGUAAGACAUGACUUUGCUUCUCCUUCGCCUUCCACCAUGAUUGUGAGGCCUCCCCAGCCAUGUGGAACUGUGAGUCCAUUAAACCUCUUUCCUUUGUAAAUUACCCAGUCUUGGGUAUGUCUUUAUUAGCAGCAUGAGAACAGACUAAUCCAGGAGGGUAGAGUGAGGUCAGAAGCACUAUCUUAGUGGGUUCUAUUACCCACCGCCCACCAACAGUAGGGCCCAAAAAUAAAAACAAAUCAGCUUCCCAGGAAAGCCAACUUUCUUUGUACUGAGACUUGAAUUUCCAAUACCAUGAUGUAUUUCAAGGCAGCAUACUCCUUCUGUGUCCUCUAAGGCCAAAGCCCUCAUAUUGACAACAACAACAAAAAUGAUUGUUGAGAUUCAUUCAUUGGAGCUGAACUGUUGCUCCCUGCAGGAGAGGGAACCUGUCUCUUAAUACAGGGCUCUGUUAAUUACAAAGGAAUCAGUAAUUAAUGGUGAAGUUUCAGAGCCUGUGGUAUUGGGGACGAAGGGAGAACAGCAGCAGCCAGAGAGCCUGGAAAGCGUGCAUAUUUUGUAAAGGGAGUUCACCGAUAAAAGCCUAAUUCUCCAGACUUGGAAUAUGAGAAUAAGGACUUAACUAACAUUGAGUAUUGAGUGCAUGCUCUUUUGCAGGCUCCACUGUAAUAGCUCUUGUCCUCUUCUUAUAAGAGUCACCUAAGAAGCUGACCCAGGAAAGUAGCCCUUUGACAGCAUCACAGCACGAGACACAGUUGAAUCCAGAGAUUAAGUACCCAAAGCCACAGCACUUGUAAGCAGCAGAACCUGGAAAUGAACCAAGAAAUAUUGAACUUCAAAGCUCAAGUUCUAUUUCUAAACAGCUGAGUCUGCCAGUUCAACAUGAACCUGGCUGGAAAGGCAGCCACAAACCUGAAUCCUUAAUUAGAAAAGCAAAAAUGAAAUAAGAAAUGGUGCUCAGUUAAUUUCAUAGGAAGCUCUCUCCCCUUCCAAGUGUGGGUGAAAUGAACUGAAAUGAAACUGUCAUCUUGAAAAUAAAAUCUCUGCCUUGCAGCCAGCUGAGUCUAUGUGCAAUAUACUUGUGAUUGGCCCUUUGGAAAUUUAAGCUGGGUCAGGCAGUGCUGACCUCCUUACCCAAUUUUAAAUCCAGGCAAUAUUUAAAACAUUUCACUCUCAAGAAACAAUCUUCCUCAUAAAGCAAUUAAAGAAAC
rnacentral:lncRNA from 1 species